AGGGGCGUCCGUUAAUUGGCUAAACGGCGGGACUCCAAAUCCUGUCCUGGGGGUUCAAGUCCCUCCGCCCCUG
rfam:Omnitrophica WOR_2 bacterium RBG_13_41_10 RBG_13_scaffold_45, whole genome shotgun sequence.